rnacentral:tRNA from 1 species
GGCUCUGUAGUGAAGUUCAUGGUGAGUUGCAAGCUCAUUGAUGUGCAUUAGUCGUGCGCCAGGGUCU